rnacentral:lncRNA from 1 species
UCAGAAAGUGGGGUCAUCUGCUCCUUCAAUCCCUUCCUCUUACGGAUCUCAGCAACAUGGCCUGCUGCCUGGGAACCCGGUUCCAAUGGAUCUGAUGACAUCAUAUCCCAGUGAUCAAACACACAUUGUGGGAAAGCCUGUCCGGAGGUUGCAGCCCUCAGAGUGCUGGAGAAUCCAAAAGACUCAAUAACUGGAAGGUAGGCCUUGAUGUUGUAAAGUGGAGUACCAGGCCUCUGCAUCUCCUCAAACACAUGUCCACGCUUCUGGUUAAGAACACUGUAAAUACCACCAAGUGCCUGCUCAGGGGCUUGAAUCUCAACCAAGUAAACAGGCUCCAGAAGCCUUGGUUUGGCCGUAAGCUGAGAAGCAUAGAAAACCCUCCUGGCAGUUGGAAUGAUUUGACCACCACCUCUGUGGAUAGCAUCAGCAUGGAGAACCACAUCACAGACUUCAAAGCAGAUACCCCUCAUGUUCUCUUCAGCUAUCGCACCUUCCUUUGAUGCCCACUGGAACCCCGCAACUACAGAGUCCUUGAUUUCAUUAAGGUAUUGAACUCCUUUACACAUAUCAACCACCAUGUUAGGACCAGUUGUC